rnacentral:rRNA from 1 species
CGGCAACAGCUCAAAUUUGAAAUCUGGCUCUCGGGCCCGAGUUGUAAUUUGUAGAGGGCGCUUUGGCUUUGGCAGCGGUCCAAGUUCCUUGGAACAGGACGUCACAGAGGGUGAGAAUCCCGUACGUGGUCGCUGGCUAUUGCCGUGUAAAGCCCCUUCGAC